CUAGAAUGUGUAUCAUGCUAACAGUUGAUAAUACAGGAAUUCAAGGGUGGGAAGUGGGAACUGACAUUUUCCAUUAUGGAUUCAAGAUUCCUUUUGGCCCAUUGCGAGUUGCUGGGCCGGGGUCAUUGAACCUAUUCAUGGAAUCCCAGCGUGUGGCCUGUCUCAAGCCUCAUGCAUUAUGGUGGUGUUUUGCUUGCACGGCACACAAACUGCAUAAAGAAUCCAUCUUUCUUCUUCUGAGUACUUCAAUUUUUAUUUUUAUUUUUAAUUUAAGUAUGAGGUUUGUUUUAGUGAAACCACUUUCAAUGUUGAUAUGGGUUUUCUUCAAUGGUCGUGUGCACUGCCAAAAGCCUGCUGUUACUAGUAUUGGCACUGUAUUUGAUUAUAGCUUGGUCACUGGAAGAGUUUCAAAGGCAGCCAUAAAAGCAGCAGUUGGCUGUUAAUGCUGAUCCUAGCUGCCAUGCUGAUACCAGUUACAGUGUUUUGAUGGGGUCAGUUGGAGGUUUUUUUGUUGUUCCAGCAGACACUGUACAGGGAGCAGCACAGCCUUUUCUGUGUGGAUCAGAAACUUUGAUAAUAUUACCUGGCCUGGUGGAAAUGUGGAUAAACCAUGUGGGUGUGUUGCUGCUGAUAAAAAAAAAGCCCAUCGACAAUUGGAGUGCCAAGGAGGGUUAGUUUUAGCAAAUUUGUAAUGGGAAUAUCAAACAGUCACAAAAUCAAAGGACACCGUAUGGAUAUGGAUGCAGCAAGCAAGUUGGUUUCUUAUGAAGUUCCCUAUACACUUGUGGCUAUUGCGUAUGGACAAUUCAACCUCAGGUACAAUAAGCUUGUGGAAAUGGUUGCUGAGGAUGAAUAUUGCCUCCUUAGUAAUAAAUAUCAGUAAGAUAAAAAGAAGGCUGUGUAAAAUGGUCUAAUGAUACUAAAUAUUCUUGUAAGGUAGCGUCUAUCCCAGAGGUGUCAAAAUUGGAAAAUGGUGUAUCUGUAUAUUGUUGCAUGUUUGACAGACAUAUAGUUAAUGCAUUCAGUCUCCCUUGCUAAUUCCUUUGAACUGUGUCGUUGGUUGAUUGAUGCUGUUGUUGGAGACAUUACCAUUGUAACAAGAUGUACAAAGGUGGUCGGUUUCUUUCAGCCUUACAUUUCUACUUGUCUUGUCACUAUGACAUCCAUAAAAUGUAAGAAGUGAAAUGCUUUGGUGUUUCUCCAGACCAUUUACAGUGGAGAUGUGGUGUGCUACAGCAGUUUUAUUUGAAUUCUUUGCCUUAAUUGGAGUGGUUAUUGGGCUUCUUGACCAUCAGCUGAACAACAAUCUUUCAAGCCCUCCUAAGCUUGCAACAAUCUCACUGAUUAGCUUCUCAACAAUGUUCAAAGGCAAUCAGAAUACAAAGCGGUCCUUGGAUGCAUCAUUUUUGUCUAAAGGAAACAAAGAUGCAACACAAAUUGGAAGGGUUUUAGAACCAGGUUUUAUCCUUUACCUGAUUGGUUGUAUACUACAGUUCAGUGAGUUCAUGGUAAUAUACAGAAUUAAAAGUCAUUUUUGUACAGAAUCAUUUAUGAGAGUUGGCUUAAUACAUGUUGUUGUAGCAACUUAAACUUCUUGGUCGCUUCACAUGGCAUUACAACCUCUUGUUUAUGUCUCCUACUUGUUGAGCCCUUUUGCAAGCAAGAGAAGGUUUCAUGUGAGGUGGGGUGUUAAGGCUUUAGCCCAAGUCAGCUCAAGAUACAUCAUUUAUCCAUAUCUUCAUCCCCACCUUUAUAUACAUCUGUGUAUUACAAUGUUAUUUAUUUAUUUACUAAUGGUACAUUGUUGAAUUAUUUCUGGUAUGUUUAGUUACUACUAUUUGUUGUUGUUGUCCUUGUUUUCUCUUUUUUUCUUUUGAUAUAUAUGCAUGUGGAUUUUUCAAGUACCAUAUGGUACAUUUAUGAUGGUGUAUGUUUCUGCAGGAAUUUUUGGACUCCAUAAUUUUCCUUUUGUGUUUCCUCUAUGUUUACUACUGUUAUUCAUAUUCAUGUUCAUGUUCAUGUCGUGGUGCUUUCCCAUGUGCAUAUCGAUUUGUUGAACCAUUGUCAAUGUCAACUGAAAAGGCCCUUUCACACUGGUUGCUUUCAAUUUGAUCAGUGAAAGAUUGACCCAAGCAACCACACAUGAGUGAGAGUGGACUUGUGGCAGAAAAUACAAAUUGCAGUUAAUUCUGUGAAGUCGCAGUAGGUAGAUUGAUAAGAUGCAUUAAUUAAAGCCACAUACUGACACUGCUCAUUGACCUCGUACAAAAUUUGAAGCAUACAGCAUCUGACUUCUGGUUGUGGUAUUUAAGCAUGCUUUCGUUUAAUCUGGACUUUGUGGGACAAAGAGUCCAAGCAGCUGCUUUUAUUUUCAUAGUUGAAGCUUGUUAGUUUUAGCUGUAGAACAUCAUUCGAACAUCAAGUUUGUGAUCUGCCUAGUUAACAGCUUAUAAAUGGUUUCACCCUUCUUUGGGAGAUCCAUAAUGUUCAAACAAACCUGUGGUACAUGUCUCACAGUCCAUACAACGGGUCAUAAUCAUUCAGAUUUGUGAGGGGUGCUCUGUUUAGGUUGGAGCUGUUGUUUUGGCUGGGGAACAUCAAUUGAACUUCCAAGUUUUGCGAUCUACCUAUUCAACUGCUUAUAAAAAAGGCUUCAACCAUCUUCUGUAAACUCAUAAUUUCUAAACAGAUACCUAGUACAUGUUUUCAUUUCCUUGAAUCAUAUUGACUGCAUCUGUUAUUUAGCCCUUCAACUUUAAAUGUUUCAUCUAAUCUACUGUUGAUUGUCAUUUGUUUUCAGGCUCUAGUUAAUCACCUUGUUUCUAUGACUGCAUCUAUGCUUGCAGGUUUAGUUUCUUGACAACAUUUUUUGGCUCUCAACCCCAUCACAUAUGCUUAGAUGUAACGAAAGAAACAACACCUCCGUAGUUAAUGCUCUUGUUCAACAAUUCCCAGUUAAGGAUUGGAGACAGGGCACUGCAGAAUCCAAUGUGGUUGGGUCUGAAAUAACAACCAAUUGCAAAAUAACCUGUAUUCCGUGGAUGCUACUUUAUUGGAUAUUCGUGUUGACUUUUUGGUCUAUGAACCGGCCUAGGGUCUAUUUAAAGGAUGCAUAAAUGAUAGGAGUGCGAUGGGCUUGAAGAUGUGGGAAAAAAACCAUUUGUUUGAAUUCUGAAUUAACAAUGAUAGUAUAAACCAACUUCCAAAUCUUAAACCAUGAAAACUUUUGAUGUAUCAAACACUAUUACAUGUACAGAUCAUACACCAAAUUUGAGUAGUGGAUUCAUUAUUCAACACAAUC